CCAACGUAGAAGCGCCAUACAUCGCAUUUACGUUCUUUACGUUCUUGCGCUCGGCUUUAUUCACAGUUGCCGUAGCGUUCGUCGGAGACGCCUUUCCAGUGGAUCACUUCGGUGUGAUGUUCGGCUUUCUUCAAAUGUCUGCGGGUAUAGCGGGCCUCGCCCAGUACCCGCUGUUCCAGUGGUACGACGCCUACGCGGGCUCCGCACUUCAUUUGAACAUAAUGCUGCUGGUUCUUCACGCUCUCACCAUCAUCCAUCCCAUCAUUCUCUACAACCAGGGCAUCAGGAACGGGAAAUCAGUGACCAACUGAGUUGUAUAUACCCUCAGUCGUACGCGUUAACGACGCCAUCUCAGUUUUUUGCCAAAGCCGGCUCUGGCGAAUUUAUUCGUCUAACAUCGCUAUGGGAUCAAAAGGACGAGAUUGAAUGGAUUUGCCUUCAUUGUCGUUCCGACUUACUAAGAAACUAAUGCGGAUUAUGAUUAUUAUUUCAAUACAAACAGUUUAUGUUGUCUUACGCUUUUCCUUCGCCCUGUUUGUAACCACAUUUUGAAUAUUUAAGGUUAAAGAAUUUACAGAUUUGUAACAACGUCUUUAAAAUUUGUGGUGGCUGGUUUUGCGGAUGGAGUACAAGGAGCGCUUCUUAUUUCGGUGAUCAGACAUAUAUUUUUGACUCGAUACGUGUCGGUUUUGGUAAUCCUUACCAUCAUAUAGUGAGAACGCGGGCUUCGUCUUUUUUCCAUAGUUUUCACAUGCAAUUGUUCAAAUAAUUAGUUUGAUAACUUUACAUGUCUGUUAAUUUAACCCUUUUAUGCCUAACGUCUAGAAAAAAAAGGCCUUUGCAAACAGCGAAGACCCAGAUUAGACGCCGCAUGAUGCUGCGUCUCAUCAGGGUCUGCGAUGUUUGCUUGAAGGAAUUUCUGUAAGAAAUAUUCUAAAUACAUGUAUAGAAAUAAAUAUACUAGACAUCCCUAAUUUUGGAAAUAAAUUGAUCCAAUUUUUAAGGAUGGGAGAGUCCACUAGGAAUAAAUGGGUUAAGUAUGUUAAGAUGAUGGGGCAUGUUUACUAUUUGUCGACAUUAGGUAUUACGAACCGCGAUACUGCGGAUAUUAAACACUGUCUAUGCAUGUGUCAAUGGUGGUAUAUAAAUUAGUCAAUAAAAUUUCAUUUGUGAGGAAUGCAAAUAUAUAUUUUUAGCAUUCUGUAUUUCGCUGUAUGUAAAUGGUUGUUGAUUUUUCAGAUUUCCAUAUUUUAGGAGUAUUAUAUACCCGUACCGAUUAUAAAGCCAUUAUACAAUAAGUGUCAUCAUGUAGAAAUAAAUUGUAUCUUUUAAGA